rnacentral:other from 1 species
UUCCUGCGGUGUUUGUUAGCAGCCGGGUAAAAUCUUGAGCCAUACUUUACUAGCAGGGUUUAACGUUCUGAUACUGUUGUGCAAGUCCGCCCUGUAGCGGAAAGCCUGAUGUAUCAACAUUAUUCCCACCUGAACCUCUGGUUCAAGGGCGAAAGCUGCGACGGCACUUGCGGGA